GAUGAACGCUGGCGGCGUGCCUAAUACAUGCAAGUCGAGCGAACAGAUGAGGAGCUUGCUCCUCUGACGUUAGCGGCGGACGGGUGAGUAACACGUGGAUAACCUACCUAUAAGACUGGGAUAACUUCGGGAAACCGGAGCUAAUACCGGAUAAUAUAUUGAACCGCAUGGUUCAAUAGUGAAAGACGGUUUUGCUGUCACUUAUAGAUGGAUCCGCGCCGCAUUAGCUAGUUGGUAAGGUAACGGCUUACCAAGGCAACGAUGCGUAGCCGACCUGAGAGGGUGAUCGGCCACACUGGAGCUGAGACACGGUCCAGACUCCUACGGGAGGCAGCAGUAGGGAAUCUUCCGCAAUGGGCGAAAGCCUGACGGAGCAACGCCGCGUGAGUGAUGAAGGUCUUCGGAUCGUAAAACUCCGUUAUUAGGGAAGAACAAAUGUGUAAGUAACUAUGCACGUCUUGACGGUACCUAAUCAGAAAGCCACGGCUAACUACGUG
rnacentral:rRNA from 1 species